rnacentral:rRNA from 1 species
UACAGAGGUCCCAAGCGUUGUUCGGAUUCACUGGGCGUAAAGGGUGCGUAGGCGGUCGGGUAAGUCUGAUGUGAAAUCUCAUAGCUUAACUGUGAAACUGCAUUGGAUACUAUCCGGCUAGAGGAAUGGAGGGGAGACUGGAAUACUUGGUGUAGCAGUGAAAUGCGUAGAGAUCGGAAAGAACACCAACGGCGAAAGCACUCUGCUGGGCCGACACUGACACUGAGAGACGAAAGCUAGGGGAGCGAAUGGG